AUUGAACGCUGGCGGCAGGCCUAACACAUGCAAGUCGAACGAGUGGCGGAGGGGUGAGUAAUGUCUGGGAAACUGCCUGAUGGAGGGGGCUAACUACUGGAAACGGUAGCUAAUACCGCAUACCAUCGGAUGUGCCCAGAGUGGAUUAGCUAGUAGGUGGGGUAAAGGCUCACCUAGGCGACGAGCCCUAGCUGGUCUGAGAGGAUGACCGGCCACACUGGAACUGAGAAACGGUCCAGACUCCUACGGGAGGCAGCAGUGGGGAAUAUUGGACAAUGGGCGAAAGUCUGAUGCAGCCAUGCCGCGUGUAUGAAGAAGGUUUUCGGGUUGUAAAGUACUUUUAGCGGGGAGGCGUUACCCGCAGAAGAAGCACCGGCUAACUCCGUGCCAGCAGCCGCGGUAAUAC
rnacentral:rRNA from 1 species